AGUCGAACGGCAGCACGGACUUCGGUCUGGUGGCGAGUGGCGAACGGGUGAGUAAUGUAUCGGAACGUGCCUAGUAGCGGGGGAUAACUGCCGAAAGCGUAGCUAAUACCGCAUACGCUCCUUCGGGGGAAAGCGGGGACCUUCGGGCCUCGCACUAUUAGAGCGGCCGAUAUCGAGCUGCUAGCUGGUGGGGUAACGGCUCACCAAGGCGACGAUCCGUAGCUGGUUUGAGAGGACGACCAGCCACACUGGGACUGAGACACGGCCCAGACUCCUACGGAGGCAGCAGUGGGAAUUGGGACAAUGGGGGAAACCCUGAUCCAGCCAUCCCGCGUGUGUGCGAUGAAGGCCUUCGGGUUGUAAAGCACUUUUGGUGCAGGAAAGAAACGGCACGGGAUAAUACCCUCGUGCAUUUGACGGUACCUGCAGAAUAAGCACCGGCUAACUACGUGCCAGCAGCCGCGGUAAUACGUAGGUGCAAGCGUUAAUCGGAAUUACUGGGCGUAAAGCGUAUGCAGGGCAAGCCCGAAAAAGAAAGAUGUGAAAUCCCAGAGCUUUUAACUUUGGAACUGCAUUUUUAACUACUGAGCUAGAGUGUGUCAGAGGGAGGUGGAAUUCCUGCGUGUAGCAAGUGAAAUGCGUAGAUAUGCGGAGGAACACCGAUGGCGAAGGCAGCUCUCUGGGAUAACACUGACGCUCAUGCACGAAAGCGUGGAGCAACAGGAUUAGAUACCCUGGUAGUCCACGCCCUAAACGAUGUCAACUAGCUGUUGGGGCCUUUCUGGCCUGGUAGCGCAGUGCUAACGCGUGAAGUUGACCGCCUGGGGAGUACGGUCGCAAGAUUAAAACCAAAGGAAUUGACGGGGACCCGCACAAGCGGUGGAUGAGCGUGGAUUAAUUCGAUGCAACGCGAAAAACCUUACCUACCCUUGACAUGUCUGAAUCCCGAAGAGAUUUGGGAGUGCUCGCAAGAGAACUGGAACACAGGUACGUGGCUGUCGUCAGCUCGUGUCGUGAGAUGUUGGGUUAAGUCCCGCAACGAUGGCAACCUUGUCAUUAGUUGCUACGAAAGGGCACUCUAAUGAGACUGCCGGUGACAAACCGGAGGAAGGUGAUGACGUCAAGUCCUCAUGGCCCUUGCGGGUAGGGCUUCACACGUCAUACAAUGGUCGGGACAGAGGGUCGCCAACCCGCGAGGGGGAGCCAAUCCCAGAAACCCGAUCGUAGUCCGGAUCGUGUCUGCAACUCGACUGCGUGAAGUCGGAAUCGCUAGUAAUCGCGGAUCAGCAUGUCGCGGUGAAUACGUUCGGCCUUGUACACACUGCCCGUCACACCAUGGGAGUGGGUUUUACCAGAAGUAGUUAGCCUAACCGUAAGGAGGGCGAUUACCACGGUAGGAUUCAUGACUGGGGUGAAGUCGUAACAAGGU
rnacentral:rRNA from 1 species